AUACGGAGGAUGCGAGCGUUAUCCGGAUUUAUUGGGUUUAAAGGGAGCGUAGGUGGGAUAUUAAGUCAGCUGUGAAAGUUUGGGGCUCAACCUUAAAAUUGCAGUUGAUACUGGUUUCCUUGAGUACGGUACAGGUGGGCGGAGUUCGUGGGGUAGCGGGGAAAUGCUUAGAUAUUACGAAGAACUCCGAUCGCGAAGGCAGCUCACCGGGCCGGAACUGACACUGAUGCUCGAAAGUGCGGGUAUCAAACAGGAUUAGAUACCCUGGUAGUCCGCACAGUAAACGAUGAAUACUCGCUGUUUGCGAUACACGGUAAGCGGCCAAGCGAAAGCGUUAAGUAUUCCACCUGGGGAGUACGCCGGCAACGGUGAAACUCAAAGGAAUUGACGGGG
rnacentral:rRNA from 1 species